UCUAAUAAAUUUAUUCUUGAACGACGACAAGUCUAGUAAAUUAGAACAAAGAAAAAUGUAAUAAAUCAACACCCUUUAUACCACUCCAAUCAAUUUACAUAUUGAAUCCAGCGCGAGAGGAAAAAAACUAGAAAAUACUAGAACAAAAAUCACUGUCUUAAACUUGCUCAUCACUUUGGCAAUUGCAAGAAACUGGGUUGGCCAAAUAUGUAGGCAUAUCGUCACCAGCCAUGAUGACAACAAUAUUUGGCUCCAUUUCUGCUUUCAUCUCAACUUGGUUAGCAGAUUUUUCUUGAACCUCAGGAUCAGUAGCCGAAGUCGAAGAAGAUUUUCUAUAGGAGCAAGCUAGAAUCAUCAAUGCCACUGCAACAAGUCCAAACAUUAAACCUAUACCAGAAAAAAGGAUGAUGAAGCUGGCAAUGUUCUGUAUUUAUAGCACCAUUAGUUAAAGUUCCACCGUGGUAGGAUGAGAACAAGGGAGUUGAACAGGAAAGUCAUCUCAUUGCCGUUGGUUUUGGCAAGAAUAGAUGAUGGAAUGAUUAUGAUUCUCUCUUGGGCUCUACUUAUACUUUAGGGGAACAUUGAUUGACAUGGGAGAGCCUAAAAUACCAUUCUUUGUCCCUGAAAAACAAUUGCCUAACCUGGUAACUAACUCAUAAAUCCUUAGCUCUAUCAAAUCAAGAUGAGGAUCUGACUUCAGAAUAGUAAUUGGGUUGCUCUUAAGCAUAUUUAGGCGGCUCCAAAAUCAUUUUUUAAUUAACCCUCCAAUUAAAUUCAUGUGUAUGUAUUUUCUUUAAUUUUACUUUUGUUGCCGUAGAUUCUUUUGGUUUAUGUUCCACACAAAAAAUCGUUUUCAGUUCUUGAUUAAGGUUGUAGAGGUGGGAUUUCAUUUCUAGACACGUUCAUCUUGAUAAUCUAUUUUCUUUUAUUUUA